AUUGAACGCUGGCGGCAUGCUUUACAUAUGCAAGUCGAACGGCAGCACGGGCUUCGGCCUGGUGGCGAGUGGCGAACGGGUGAGUAAUAUAUCGGAACGUACCCAGAAGUGGGGGAUAACGUAGCGAAAGUUACGCUAAUACCGCAUACGAUCUAUGGAUGAAAGCAGGGGACCGCAAGGCCUUGUGCUCCUGGAGCGGCCGAUAUCUGAUUAGCUAGUUGGUGAGGUAAAGGCUCACCAAGGCGACGAUCAGUAGCUGGUCUGAGAGGACGACCAGCCACACUGGAACUGAGACACGGUCCAGACUCCUACGGGAGGCAGCAGUGGGGAAUUUUGGACAAUGGGCGCAAGCCUGAUCCAGCAAUGCCGCGUGAGUGAAGAAGGCCUUCGGGUUGUAAAGCUCUUUUGUCAGGGAAGAAACGGUAGAGGCUAAUAUCCUUUGCUAAUGACGGUACCUGAAGAAUAAGCACCGGCUAACUACGUG
rnacentral:rRNA from 1 species